UGAGCAAUCUGCCCUUCUCAUCGGAAUAAGCGUUGGAAACGACGUCUAAUGCCGAAUACGACCUCCUUUCGCAUGAUCGGAGGUGGAAAGCUCCGGCGGAGAAGGAUGAGCUCGCGGCCUAUCAGCUAGUUGGUGUGGGUAAUGGCCCACCAAGGCGAUGACGGGUAGCCGGCCUGAGAGGGUGACCGGCCACACUGGGACUGAGACACGGCCCAGCUCCUAGGAGG
rnacentral:rRNA from 1 species